rnacentral:misc_RNA from 1 species
CUCUAUGUUUGUAUUGACAAGAAGUCUGGGCGAGACUUGGCUUGAAGCAGUUUACGAUAGCGAAGCUUUCUUUUUGCAAAAAAACAGGCUUGAACAUCUGAAAUAAGUUAAAUUGUGAAUGUAUAUAAUGAAAUAAUUGUGUUAGUUGUAAGCUGUAAGGAUUAUAUUGUGUAAAAAUGGCUGCAGUUAAGAAUAAUGGGCCGAUAAUAGACCCAGCGUUGUGUCGGUGCUGCAGGGCUAUAAAAAAAUGUCGAGUUCUCACAUCGGAGUACACUUGGAUGGAGAAAAAGGAAGUAUAUGCUGACAUGGUCAUGGACUGCUUUGGAAUAUUGCUAUCCCACGUAGAUGACAACGACAAGGAUUGCGGCGUGUGCGCAACGUGCGUCGUACGGCUACGCGACGCAUGCGCAUUCAGGCAGCAAGUGCUGCAAUGUGAGGAGUUGUUCCUCAGCGCUAAGCUUGAAGACAAGGAUACACUGGCUGGUGAGAUUACUGAACCGAAGAUAGAUAAGCCACAAAUGGAUAUAGAACUAAAGAUAGAGCCGAAAGAUGAUUGCAGCGAGAUGUCAGGAGGAGCAGACCAUGAUGAUGACAUGUCCAUGGAUUAUCCUGAGGAUGUUGAAGAAAUAAAAGCCCCCAAAAAAGAGGAUGUACCAACAACUGAUGAUGCCCAGAAACCAGAGCUACCUCUAGAUGAAGACUCGAAGCUGGAUGAUGAUGAUGAUGACGAGAGCGACUGGUCGGCUUCAUCAUCAGACUCCGACAAACCCAUCAAGAAGAAGGCUAAGAAGAAAGCUAAGAGUAAUGGUGCUCAGAAGAAGAAGAAAGUCGCUGUUAAGAAGCAGAAAGCUGGUACAUCAUCAAAAAAAUCACCGAAAACUAUCAAAAAACCUCCCGUUGAGAAGAAACAUAAUUACGACAGAGAUUUAGACUGUAUGUCUGAAGAAAAUCUGCUAACUAUCAUACAAUAUUCCUAUGUAUGUCCUUUUAAAAACAGACGAAAUAACUACUAUUGCUUCUACUGCAAAGAUUAUUACCCAAAACCAGAAGAUUUGAGAGAACACACAGUUUCUCAUGACACUAAACCGUUCCAACUACUUAUGGGAUACAAAAAAAUGAUCAAAAUUGAUAUUACUAGAAUAGAUUGCAGACUCUGUCCACAAAAAAUAGACGACUUAAACGUUUUCAAACAACAUAUAGAUCAGGUACACGGUAAAAAAAUAUAUUUUGAGGCUCCGGAUAAAAUGUUACUUUACAAGUUAACUUGGAAUGAUCUAGUGUGUGUAAUGUGUAAUGAUGUUUUUGAAGAUUUUAACACUUUAAACACACAUAUGGUUGAACAUUUCAGUAAUUAUACUUGUGAUAUAUGUGGAGUCUGCUUUUUGGAAAAACCGAGGCUCGAUGCUCAUUUAAAAAGACAUAAGGACGAUGAACGGCAUACUUGUGAAGUUUGUGGCAAAGUGUUCAAAUCUAACCAUUAUAAAGACAUGCAUGUUGAUAUAGUACAUAAGAAAAAAGCUAUAAUAAGAUGUCCUCGUUGCGAUGAAUGUUUUAUGUCCUAUGCGUUAAAAAAUAAACACUUGACCGAGGCCCAUGGACAAAAGAGAACGUACCCGUGUAACUUAUGUGACAAAGUCUAUAAUAGACAAAAGACAUUGACAGAACAUCAAAGGAGGAACCACCAAAAAGUUUUGAAGCAUCAAUGUGAGUAUUGCGAUCAGAGGUUUUAUUUGCCGUCCCGGUUAAAAGAGCAUAUGGCAACUCAUACCGGGGAGAGGAAUUUUAGAUGUGAGUAUUGUGAAAAGAGUUAUCCUCGGUUAAAAUCUUUGCAGUACCAUAUUAGGACUCAUACGAAUGAUAGGAGGUACCGUUGCCACAUAUGUGGGCAGGCUUUCAUACAAAAUGCUAGCUUGAAAUCACAUAUAAAAAGUCAUCAUCCGGAGUGUGAUAUUGAAGGAUGCUACUUUUAAGAUUAAAUACUUUUUAGUCUAGCCGGAGAUAGAAUUUUGACAUUAGCACCCAUACAAGUGUUGUGUCAAAUUACUAUCUGUAUAGUUUUCGGCACGAAUCUUGAGCUCUGACCUUCACCUGCGCAGAAGUAAUUUAUUGGGUCCCUUUUGUGGUAUGAAGUGAGGCGCGGGGGCGGGCUAAAGCGGUGAUUGGCCCGCAGCGCAUCGCGUCAUAGCCGUCACUCGGGAUUGGUUUUUUGCUAAUAAAUCACUUCUGCGCAGAUGUAGGUGAGAGCUCAAGAUUCGUGCCGAUAACUAUACA